GGGACACUGGGAGACAUUGAGGGACACUGGGAGACUUGGGGACACUGAGGCAUGGGGACACUGGGAGACUUGGGGAUGCUGGGAGACUUGGGGGUGCUUGAAGUGUCCCCUAGUAUCUCAGUGUCCCCAUGUCUCCCAGUCAGUGUCCCCAUGUCUCCCAGUGUCCCCAUUUCUCUCACUGUCUGU